CCUGCCCAAAGUUCAGAAUAGCUUCCGUUUAGCAUUCUUGAAAUUUCUAUGCCCUGUUUUGCCCUCAUCUUCCAAGCCGAAAUCCACAUCCAGAUCUCUCCCUCCCAACAUCAAAGAAGCUGCCAGGUGAGUGACCUCCACCACUGCCCUUUCACUUUCAUUUGUGAUUGUUUUGUCGAACCAAACUCUCACAUUCUGUUCUUGAAAUGCAGUGAGUAGGGAAGUCCAAAAACAGACUUCUGUUCUUCAAAUUUCAACAAGUAUCUCCAAAGAAACCCAGAAGAAAACCUUUCCAAUUCAAUAGGUAAAUAUUGUCUGCCCUAAAAUUUUUCUGUGAAUGUGUUUUCCCUUUUAUGUCUAUGAUGAGAGAUUCAUCAAAUUAGUUGAAUCUCUGUUUACAAUCGUUUAAAAUUGGCAUCUAAGGUUUCUGAAAACUAAAAAAUUCGACCAAAGUCACUCCCUUUGUAGCGUUCUGCCCUUCUCUGCUGGAGUUGGUG
rnacentral:lncRNA from 1 species